UGGGGAAUUUUGCACAAUGGGGGAAACCCUGAUGCAGCGACGCCGCGUGAUUUAGAAGGCCUUCGGGUUGUAAAAAUCUUUUUUACGGGAUGAAAAUGACAGUACCGUAAGAAUAAGGUCCGGCUAAAUACGUGCCAGCAGCCGCGGUAAUACGUAUGGACCGAGCGUUGUCCGGAAUCAUUGGGCGUAAAGGGUACGUAGGCGGCCUAGUAAGUUAGAAGUUAAAGAAUAUAGCUCAACUAUAUAAAGCUUUUAAAACUGCUAGGCUUGAGAGAUGGAAGGGAGAGUGGAAUUCCUAGUGUAGCGGUGAAAUGCGCAGAUAUUAGGAAGAAUACCGGUGGCGAAGGCGACUUUCUGGUCAUAAUCUGGCGCUGAGGUACGAAAGCGUGGGUAGCAAACAGG
rnacentral:rRNA from 1 species